rfam:Canis lupus familiaris chromosome 21, whole genome shotgun sequence.
AUACUUACCUGACAGGGGAAAUACCAUAAUCAUGAAGGUGGUAUUCCCAGGGUAAUAGAGGGUUAUCUAUUACACUCUGUUUGUGCAGACCCCUGUGAUUUCCCCAAAUGUGGGAAACUGGACUGCAGAAUUUGUGAUAGUGGGGGACUGCAUUCACGGUCUCCCCUG